UACGUAGGGUGCGAGCGUUAAUCGGAAUUACUGGGCGUAAAGCGCACGUAGGCGGCUUUGUAAGUUAGAGGUGAAAGCCCGGGGCUCAACUCCGGAAUUGCCUUUAAGACUGCAUCGCUAGAAUUGUGGAGAGGUAAGUGGAAUUCCGAGUGUAGAGGUGAAAUUCGUAGAUAUUCGGAAGAACACCAGUGGCGAAGGCGACUUACUGGACACGUAUUGACGCUGAGGUGCGAAAGCGUGGGGAGCAAACAGG
rnacentral:rRNA from 1 species